GAUGAACGCUGGCGGCGUGCCUAACACAUGCGAGUCGAGCGAUUCUCUUCGGAGAAGAGCGGCGGACGGGUGAGUAACGCGUGGGUAACCUGCCCUGUACACACGGAUAACAUACCGAAAGGUAUGCUAAUACGAGAUAAUAUGCUUUUAUCGCAUGGUAGAAGUAUCAAAGUUUUUGCGGUAUAGGAUGGACCCGCGUCUGAUUAGCUAGUUGGUAAGGUAACGGCUUACCAAGGCGACGAUCAGUAGCCGACCUGAGAGGGUGAUCGGCCACAUUGGAACUGAGACACGGUCCAAACUCCUACGGGAGGCAGCAGUGGGGAAUAUUGCACAAUGGGCGAAAGCCUGAUGCAGCAACGCCGCGUGAGCGAUGAAGGCCUUCGGGUCGUAAAGCUCUGUCCUCAAGGAAGAUAAUGACGGUACUUGAGGAGGAAGCCCCGGCUAACUACGUGCCAGCAGCCGCCGUAA
rnacentral:rRNA from 1 species